rnacentral:rRNA from 1 species
UACGAAGGGGGCUAGCGUUGUUCGGAAUUACUGGGCGUAAAGCGCUCGUAGGCUGACAUUUAAGUCAGGGGUGAAAUCCCGAGGCUCAACCUCGGAACUGCCUUUGAUACUGGGUGUCUCGAGUCCGGAAGAGGUGAGUGGAAUUCCUAGUGUAGAGGUGAAAUUCGUAGAUAUUAGGAAGAACACCAGUGGCGAAGGCGGCUCACUGGUCCGGUACUGACGCUGAGGAGCGAAAGCGUGGGGAGCAAACAGG